rnacentral:tRNA from 1 species
GCAGUCGUGGCCGAGUGGUUAAGGCGUCUGACUUGAAAUCAGAUUCCCUCUGGGAGCGUAGGUUCGAGUCUGCCGACUGCG